UACGUAGGGUGCGAGCGUUUAAUCGGAAUUACUGGGCGUAAAGCGUGCGCAGGCGGUUUUGUAAGCCAGAUGUGAAAUCCCCGGGCUUAACCUGGGAAUGGCAUUUGGGACUGCAAGGCUUGAGUGCGGCAGAGGAGACUGGAAUUCCUGGUGUAGCGGUGAAAUGCGCAGAUAUCAGGAGGAACACCGAUGGCGAAGGCAGGUCUCUGGGCCACUACUGACGCUGAGAAGCGAAAGCGUGGGGAGCGAACAGG
rnacentral:rRNA from 1 species